rnacentral:rRNA from 1 species
UGGGGAAUAUUGGACAAUGGGGGCAACCCUGAUCCAGCAAUACCGCGUGUGUGAAGAAGGCCUGAGGGUUGUAAAGCACUUUCAAUUGUGAAGAAAAGUUAACGGUUAAUAACCGUUGACCUUGACGUUAACUUUAUAAGAAGCACCGGCUAACUCCGUGCCAGCAGCCGCGGUAAUACGGAGGGUGCAAGCGUUAAUCGGAAUUACUGGGCGUAAAGCGUGCGUAGGCGGUUUAUUAAGUCAGAUGUGAAAGCCCCGGGCUUAACCUGGGAACUGCAUUUGAAACUGGUCAACUAGAGUAUGGUAGAGGAAAGUGGAAUUUCUGGUGUAGCGGUGAAAUGCGUAGAUAUCAGAAGGAACAUCAAUGGCGAAGGCAGCUUUCUGGACCAAUACUGACGCUGAGGUACGAAAGCGUGGGUAGCAAACAGG